rnacentral:rRNA from 1 species
GUCUUAACCAUGAGCCGUGCCGACUGGAGAUUGGAGGUCGUCAUAUCCAUUCGACUCCUUCGGCGCGCUAUGAGAACUCGAAGUCUCUGGGCUCCGGGGGAGAGUG